UACGUAGGGUGCGAGCGUUAAUCGGAAUUACUGGGCGUAAAGCGUGCGCAGGCGGUUCGUUGUGUCGGUGGUGAAAGCCCCGGGCUUAACCUGGGAAUGGCCAUGGAAACUGGCGAACUGGAGUGUGGCAGAGGGGGGUGGAAUUCCGCGUGUAGCAGUGAAAUGCGUAGAGAUGCGGAGGAACACCGAUGGCGAAGGCAGCCCCCCUGGGCUAGCACUGACGCUCAGGCACGAAAGCGUGGGGAGCAAACAGG
rnacentral:rRNA from 1 species